GUACUCCACAAUUAGAUUGCGAUAUAGGUUUGUAACCAAUCAAUCUUGGUACCAUAUAGUACUCUAUAUGCCUUGUCAGUUUGUAACCAAUCAAUCUUGGUACCAUAUAGUACUCUAUAUGCCUUGUCAGUUUGUAACAAUAAAUCUGGGGACUCC